rnacentral:rRNA from 1 species
UACGUAGGGUGCAAGCGUUAAUCGGAAUUACUGGGCGUAAAGCGUGCGCAGGCGGUUUUGUAAGUCUGUCGUGAAAUCCCCGGGCUCAACCUGGGAAUUGCGAUGGAGACUGCAAGGCUGGAAUAUGGCAGAGGGGGGUAGAAUUCCACGUGUAGCAGUGAAAUGCGUAGAGAUGUGGAGGAACACCGAUGGCGAAGGCAGCCCCCUGGGUCAAGAUUGACGCUCAUGCACGAAAGCGUGGGGAGCAAACAGG